rnacentral:rRNA from 1 species
AGUGAACGCUGGCGGUAGGCCUAACACAUGCAAGUCGAACGGCAGCACAGUAAGAGCUUGCUCUUACGGGUGGCGAGAGGCGGACGGGUGAGGAAUACAUCGGAAUCUACUUUUUCGUGGGGGAUCACGUAGGGAAACUUACGCUAAUACCGCAUACGCCCUACGGGUGAAAGCAGGGGAUAUUCGGACCUUGCGCGAUUGAAUGAGCCGAUGUCGGAUUAGCUAGUUGGCGGGGUAAAGGCCCACCAAGGCGACGAUCCGUAGCUGGUCUGAGAGGAUGGUCAGCCACACUGGAACGGAGACACGCUCCAGGCUCCUACGGGAGGCAGCAGUGGGGAAUGUUGGACAAUGGGCGCAAGCCUGAUCCAGCCAUACCGCGUGGGUGGAGAAGGCCUUCGGGUUGUAAAGCCCUUUUUUUGGGAAAGAAAAGCAGCAGGUUAAGACCCCGCGGUUCUGACGGUACCCAAAGAAUAAGCACCGGCUAACUUCGUG